GACGAACGCUGGCGGCGUGCUUAACACAUGCGAGUCGAACGGAAAGGCCCUGCUUUUGUGGGGUGCUCGAGUGGCGAACGGGUGAGUAACACGUGAGUAACCUGCCCUUGACUUUGGGAUAACUUCAGGAAACUGGGGCUAAUACCGGAUAGGAGCUCCUGCUGCAUGGUGGGGGUUGGAAAGUUUCGGCGGUUGGGGAUGGACUCGCGGCUUAUCAGCUUGUUGGUGGGGUAGUGGCUUACCAAGGCUUUGACAGGUAGCCGGCCUGAGAGGGUGACCGGCCACAUUGGGACUGAGAUACGGCCCAGACUCCUACGGGAGGCAGCAGUGGGGAAUAUUGCACAAUGGGCGGAAGCCUGAUGCAGCAACGCCGCGUGCGGGAUGACGGCCUUCGGGUUGUAAACCGCUUUCGCCUGUGACGAAGCGUGAGUGACGGUAAUGGGUAAAGAAGCACCGGCUAACUACGUG
rnacentral:rRNA from 1 species